rnacentral:lncRNA from 1 species
GAGGCGGCGCGGCAGCGGCUCUCUCAGAGAGGGCAGGGCGGGCAAGGGCGGGACUGGCCCGCUGUUGGCGGACUGGGGAGCCGCGGAGCUAACGGGUCUGGACGCAGGCGGCGGCGGCGGCUUUUUCUGAGCUGACGGAGGCGGCGGCAGGAGCGGCGAGCAUGGCCCGUGCGACGCCGGGCGCUGACUGAGUUCGAUAAGAGGGAAGAGAUAGACUCCUUGAGUUUUAUCCUCCCGACAGCUGCCUUCUCUCAGCCGGCCCCACAGAUACUGUCUAUUGUGGCCCUGCUCGUGCUCUGUCUCCGUGCCUUCCUGACAGUCACAACCCCUGGCUUCAGCCCUGCUGCGCUUCCCCUGCCUGGCCGCCAGCUCCCGUUCCAUCUGUGGUAUUUACCCCCAGAGAAAAGAGAGUAUGUGCCCACAAAAUGACUUGUACAUGAAAGUCCAGGCAGUUUUACUCACAACCAAAAACUGGAAACAAGUCAACUGUCCAAAGGUGAACAAGAACAACUGCUGAUAUACAUAACAUGGACUGAUCUCCAAAACAUGGUGCUGAGCAAAAGAAGCCAGACUCGCAGGAGUGUUUUAUGAAGUUCAAGAACAAGUAAACCUAAUCUGUGGUGACACGACUUAGCCAAAUGGGAGAGUGGUGAGUGAUGAUCAGGGAAGAGCUCGAGGGAGCUCCCUGGAGUGAUGGAAAUGCUCGGUAUUAUUAUAUUUGGCUGCACCUGGGCAUGCCAAAAUUCCUGGUCCAGGGAUUGAACCCAAGCCACAGCAGCGACCCAGGCCGCUGCAGUGACAAUGUCAGAUCCUUAACUGCUAGACCCUCAGGGACCUCUGGAAAUACUGGGCGCUUACACACAUGCACAAGUAGGUAAACACGUACCAAGCUCUACACGGAGAGAGUUGCUGUUGUGGGUCAGCGGUAACCACCCGGACUAGUGUCCACAAGGACGUGGGUUUGUUCCCUGGCCUCACUCAAUCAGUUAAUGAUCCGGCAUUGCUGUGAGCUGUGGAUCGCCUGUGAGGCUGUGGCUGUGACUUAGGCCGGCAGCUGCAGCUCUGAUUCCACACCUAGCCUGGGAACUUCCAUUGGCCUCAGAUGUGGCCCUAAUAAAACAAAAACAAACAAACAAAAACAUCUGCAUUGAAAGACUUCUGCAUCCUAUUACACAAGAAUUAAACCUCCAUGGAAAAAAGAUUGUCCCAAGUAGGGGCAAGAUUUUGCAGGGAAAUGAAACAGCCUAUUCAACCUAAGCUUUAAAUCUGCUUAAUAGGACAAGCGGGCUGAACUCACCAGCCUUGUAAUUAAUCGAUUCUAAUAUUCAACCUUUGUGUGAGAUACCAUUUAUUCCCACCCAAACCUGAGGAGGAUUACAAUCUCUGAGGAUGUCUGCUCUCAGAUGUCAAAAAAUAAAUUAGCUCAGGAGCUGUCUAAUCUCUCAGUCCGUUCCCACACCAUAUUUUCUGUGAGAAAGAUGUCUUAAAAUUUUUCUUUAAAAAAACUGCUACUGGGACAUACUCAUGUCCGUAUUUAUUAAGUUAAUGGCACAUUUUCCUCUCUGACAUUGUUCCCACCAGCGGUGAUGAGUGUUUUUAAAAAUUUGCUCCGGAGUUCCCGUCGUGGCGCAGUGGUUAACGAAUCCGACUAGGAACCAUGAGGUUGCGGGUUCGGUCCCUGCCCUUGCUCAGUGGGUUAACGAUCCAGCGUUGCCGUGAGCUGUGGUGUAGGUUGCAGACACGGCUCGGAUCCCGCGUUGCUGUGGCUCUGGCGUAGGCCGGUGGCUACAGCUCCGAUUCAACCCCUAGCCUGGGAACCUCCAUAUGCCGCAGGAGCGGCCCAGAGAAAUAGCAACAAUAACAAAAACAACAACAA